CCUUCCCCCACAACAAACUUACCAGCUGGACGCUGCUCUCCAAGCUGCCCAGCUAUAUAUUGGCAAUCGGAUUGGUAUCGGCUGAUACGGCUUGCUAAAAAUCUGCCAUCGGUAUCAGCCCAAAAAACCUUAAUCAGUGCAUCCCUAGAAAUUACUGAAGGAGAUAUGAAAUAAAAAAAUAGAGGUCUAGAAGAGGCUUCCACCUGAGCAGAGAUUCAAAUCACUGGGACCUUUAAGAGAAGAGACAAGAAGGGACCCCAUAGAGAGAGCAUUUCUCUAAUAUUGUUUAAAAAACAAGAACUCCGGCACAUUCAGUGGAAGGAUUUUUAAAGGACCAGAACUGCACCUGUUUUCGCCUGCCUGACUGGGGGGAGCCGUGCGUCUUUCUGAGCGCUAGCAAGAGUUUUCAGCCAUAAGGUGCCAUUCUGCAGUGGGGAAAGUGAAACACGGAGUAGGGGAAGUGGCUUGCCAAAGAUCACCCUGGACAUCAGAGGCAGGACUGAGAAUACAGCCCAGACAGGUGCAUGGCUAUGCCUUUACACGAUGUAAGUGCUACUGUGGACACAGCUCUGUUGAGACUCAUAAAGGCUUUGAAUGGACCUACAGGCACAGCAUGUUUGCUUCUCGAGAAGAUUUUGUCAGCCCCCUUUUCUGUCCAGCUGCCCAGUUCGCCCAUGCUUCUGUCUGGGUCUGCCAACAUCCAUCAGACAGGAGACAGCAGGACACCACCUGCCUCCGUGCUCCAGAAGUGGCUUGGUGGAGCAGCACGUGCAGCUACGGUCAGUGCAGCAGCAUCUGGGGCAGUUCAGCAGAGACCUCUGCCAGGACCAGCACUGGCACCUCGGAGGGGCUGCUUCACCAAGGUUUUGCUCCCAAUUCCUGCAAGCAGGGAAGGUUGUUCUGCCUCUGAAAGCCAGUGCCAAAUCACGUUCCAACAGCUGUAUGUUCUCCAGCAUGAGUCAUCCCCACCCUGAGCGCUAAGCCUAUCCACAACAACAUUCCUUCUUUGUGAUCUAAGGUCCUGGCUAGGUUAAAUUGCCAUCUAACAUCACUCUUCCCCUCCCGCCUCCUUGCAACCUAUUGGGAUGUCUGAGUUCCAAGACAAGAGAGACUGAGAGAUCAAAGUCCAUUGUUGGACCUCCCCCAUGCCUGAGGAAAUCAUGAGAUUCGUGCCAAAAAUCAUGGGAUUUCUUUUUUCAAAAAUAGGUUGUUUUUCCAGUGUUUGAACUCCUCUGUGCGUGACAAUUAACGCUGCCCACUCUCCCAGACUUACUGACUACAGAGAUUUUGGUCUUUUGCUGAGGCAGCAGCUCUUGCCCUCACAUCUACCCAUCUCCUACCUAGCAAUAAAUUCUUCCCCUUCCACCUUAAAAAACCCUCCAAAUGAAUCCUGCACAUCCUACAUCAGUUCUGCUGCCUGCAUUGAUUCUCCUGCCUCCAGCAGCCCUUCUGGAUUUCUACCCCAUCCUAGCCUUCAGGAUAAGGCAGCGGUUCCCAAACUGUGGGUCGCGACCCCAAAUGGGGUCACAACAUCAGCAGAUGGAGUUGCGAUAAACAUGGCCCCUGUGAUUUCUGUGCCCACAGCGGGGUGCAGGGCUGCAGCUGAGCUACACCAUCUCCGGGCAGAAGCUGCCUCUGCAGCCGAGCGCGUGGGACCUAUUGCGGGAGGGAGUGCUGCACCACCACGGCUGCCAAGGUGAGGGAUGGCAGCGGCGCAGAGUUGUGCCCACACUGCUGCCAGGUGAGCAGGGGGCAUCUCAGCAUGGUGACACGGUGCCCCCUACUUUCUGGGCCAGAUCCUGCCCACUGGGCCAUGCCCACGGACAGCAGGGCAGGGAGCCCCAAGCUGCAUCCUCCUCACCACCAUGGAGAGGGGAGAGGGAACCAGGCUCCACUCCAGCUGCAGCAUCCGCCACGUCCCAUGGGUGGCAGCUGGGGCUCGGGUGCUGCUGGAGGUAGAGAGCUGUGGGUGGGGGAGUGAGGGGCCAUGCUGAGGAAGUGGGAUCGUAAAUGG